rnacentral:rRNA from 1 species
AUGCAAGUCGCGCGAUGAAGUUUUUUGCUUGCAAGGAACGGAUUAGCGGCGAAAGGGAGAAGUAACGUGUGGAUCAUCUACCUCUAGAACUGGGAUAGCUGCGGGAAACUGCAGGUAAUACCAGAUAAUAUCUCCGGAUCAAACGGUGAGAUUCCGCCUAGAGAUGAGUCCGCAUCCCACUAGCUUGUUGGUGAGGUAACGGCUCACCAAGGCAUCGAUGGGUACCGGGUGUGAGAGCAUGGCCCGGCUCACUGGGACUGAGACACUGCCCAGACACCUACGGGUGGCUGCAGUCGAGAAUCUUCGGCAAUGGACGAAAGUCUGACCGAGCGACGCCGCGUGCGGGACGAAGGCCUUCGGGUUGUAAACCGCUGUCAGUUGGGAGGAAAUGCUAUGGGGCAAUCUCCAUAGUUUGACCUAUCAUCAGAGGAAGGACGGGCUAAGUUCGUGCCAGCAGCCGCGGUAAGACGAACCGUCCAAACGUUAUUCGGUAUCACUGGGCUUAAAGGGUGCGUAGGCGGCUUGAUAAGUAAGGUGUGAAAGACCUCGGCUCAACCGAGGAAUUGCGCUUUAAACUGUCAGGCUUGAGGAAGGUAGAGGUAAGCGGAACUUGCGGUGGAGCGGUGAAAUGCAUUGAUAUCGCAGGGAACACCAGUGGCGAAGGCGGCUUACUGGGCCUUUUCUGACGCUGAGGCACGAAAGCUAGGGUAGCGAACGGGAUUAGAUACCCCGGUAGUCCUAGCCGUAAACGAUG